UACGUAGGGGGCUAGCGUUGUCCGGAAUUAUUGGGCGUAAAGGGCUCGUAGGCGGUUUGUCGCGUCGGGAGUGAAAACUCAGGGCUUAACCCUGAGCCUGCUUCCGAUACGGGCAGACUAGAGGUAUGCAGGGGAGAACGGAAUUCCUGGUGUAGCGGUGAAAUGCGCAGAUAUCAGGAGGAACACCGGUGGCGAAGGCGGGUCUCUGGGCAGUAACUGACGCUGAGGAGCGAAAGCGUGGGGAGCAAACAGG
rnacentral:rRNA from 1 species